UAAACGCGUCCACCUCGAUACUUCUUCCGGUCUAAACGGGAUACCAGGGGAAUAUGUAUGACUGAUCGAGAUCCACGGCCUCGUUCGAUGCCUAGUCAAUGGAAUUGUAUAGCUACGCGAUAUGGAAAGAACUCUAUCUGGUUUCAAGCGAUCGAAUAGGAUAUUAAAUAUUUUUAAGACACGACAAAUUUUGUAGAAAGAAAAUUAAAAGGUCGAAACAUUGUAGCUAAUAUUGGAUAUUAAGGAAUCUGUAGGGCGGGAAACAAGGAAAGAUAUUUCUAACUUGUGCUUUGUGAAAAUUAUGACUCACAAAAUAAGUAACGAUUACUGCAAGUACUAUUUUAAAGAUAACUAUAAAAUAUUGUUUAUAUAUGAUGAUAAAGUAAAAUAUAUCGCGCUGAAUAAACCAGGGACUAUUUUCUAGGAAACUAAAAACAGAUAAACUGAAUUUAUGAGCAGAUGAUGCA